rnacentral:lncRNA from 1 species
AAUAAAUGAAUUAAUGAUGUAGAAACUGAAAUGAAUUUAGUGCAUAAUGAAAAAUAAAAGGAUGGAUCUAUUUCAUAUGAGAAAUAAUAUAUGACUCUAACCCAACAUACAACUCUUAAAUGUUAAACUCAUACCUAACUUUUAAAUACUAAACCCUAAACUGUUAUCACUAAACUCAAACCUCAAUCCACACCUUCCAAAUACUAAACACUAAAUACUGAUCACUAAACCUUAAAUCUAAUCACUAAACCAUAAACCCAAGUAUAGACCAUAAACCCAAGUAUAGACCCUAAACCCAGAUAGAAUGGAACAAAAAAUAUAAUAUGGUUUAAUAAACCCAAACUUCUACUUACUAAAUCAAAACCCUAUGCAUGAACCUAUAAACCCAAAUACAAUCUAUAAAUUAUUUUCCAAUAUUGAACACUUGAAGACACAUUUACUUGGUUAGCAUGUUACAUAUCUUCUAUUCCAUAUAGUCUAAGUAGUAUAGUACACGAAUGUUUAAAAUAAUCAAAAAAUUUCAAUGGUGUAUCCAUAGUAUGAAAUGCAAAUAGUAAAUUCUCUUCACCCGCAAAAAUACAACAAUACAAGACACACUAUUAAUUAUUAAAGCUAAACUCUAAUUAAGGAAUCAUAAACCCAAAUAGUAUAUAUAUAUAAUAUGGUUUACUAUACCCAAAUUUCUACUUAGUAAAUCUAAACCCUAGGCAGGAACCUAUAAACCCAAAUACAAUCUAUAAACCCUAGGCACGAUACAUGUUUACUAAACCCAAAUCCCAACCCCGCCCUUCUAAAUACUAAACCCUAAAUCCUAAUCAAUAAACCCUAAACCCAAGUAUAAACCCUAAACCCAAAUAUAAACCAUAAACCCUAAACUCUAAACCCAAAUCUCAAAAUCUAAUACUGGCCUCAAACUCACAUCUAUUACUCUAAAUACUAAACUCUAAUCACUAAUUACUAAACCCUAAACUCAAAUAUAACCUCUAAAUC